UUAAUUGAAGAGUUUGAUCAUGGCUCAGAUUGAACGCUGGCGGCAGGCUUAACACAUGCAAGUCGAGCGGUAGCACAGGGGAGCUUGCUCCCUGGGUGACGAGCGGCGGACGGGUGAGUAAUGUCUGGGAAACUGCCUGAUGGAGGGGGAUAACUACUGGAAACGGUAGCUAAUACCGCAUAACGUCGCAAGACCAAAGAGGGGGACCUUCGGGCCUCUUGCCAUCAGAUGUGCCCAGAUGGGAUUAGCUAGU
rnacentral:rRNA from 1 species